CCAGACUCCUACGGGAGGCAGCAGUGAGGAAUAUUGGUCAAUGGUCGGGAGACUGAACCAGCCAAGCCGCGUGAGGGAGGAAGGUACAGAGUAUCGUAAACCUCUUUUGUCAGGGAACAAAGACUGGGACGCGUCCCCGGAUGAGUGUACCUGAAGAAAAAGCAUCGGCUAACUCCGUGCCAGCAGCCGCGGUAAUACGGAGGAUGCGAGCGUUAUCCGGAUUUAUUGGGUUUAAAGGGAGCGUAGGCCGGCUUUUAAGUCAGCUGUGAAAGUCCGCGGCUCAACCGUGGAAUUGCAGUUGAAACUGGAGGCCUUGAGUGCACACAGGGAUGCCGGAAUUCAUGGUGUAGCGGUGAAAUGCUUAGAUAUCAUGAAGAACUCCGAUUGCGAAGGCAGCUCACUGGACUGCAACUGACACUGAGGCUCGAAAGUGUGGGUAUCAAACAGGAUUAGAUACCCCCGUACA
rnacentral:rRNA from 1 species